UGGUAAGCACUCGAAACCUACUACCGAAAUCCAAACCUUUGGCUAUGUUAAGGACUCGCUCUGACCUUAAAAGUGAGCAAGUUGUUUCGCCCCAUUUAUACAUCACGCACUUUACCAUACCGUUCAUAUCUCAUCUGUCGCCCCUACCAUACUUCACGCAUUACAAAUCCCGUUCUUCCAUCCCCGCAACAAAAUUAGUAGUGAAUACAGUCAGUGCUGUUCACCACGUACCGUGCAUAAAGUCGUGAUUGGAUAUUUUACCAUAAUAUCCAACACUCCAUACGAGACAACCGUGAAACAAAACGUUCUUGUGUAGGCGAGGCCUUGGAAAAUACCACCUUCUUGAAAACCUACCAAAACUUGUGUCAAAAUUCUAAACAUGCCAGCCUUAUUCGAAAUUCCCGCCAAUUCUGAAACCGAGAUUACAAACUGUAUUCUUGGCGAAAUAAGGUCUAAAAAAAAUAAAAAAACUACUUCAAAACAAUUUAUCUCAUUAAAUUUGAGUGCUAAAACCAAAUUUCGUAACAUUCCGAACCAUAAAACUAUAUUGUAUUUAACUAAAUAAAUAUCAAUAUUUAAACAAAUUACAAAAUGAUUUUCCAAAAACGAGCGUUUUUAUAAACGCUGAACUCGUUACGAUUUAAAGAAAACACUACUAAAGUUUACGCGUUUCCGAACGCACCCUUACUCUGUGUCAAAAAAAAACAAAUUCAUGACUUAACCUUACUUUGCACUUUAAACUACAAAGAACAAAACUUUGGUUGCAAAUACCAUUUUAAUUUGGAAAACUACCAUCUAAUAUGAAACACAAGUCUUACGUUGUGUGAAGUAUUAUUUACAACUCAAAAUAAGCUAAACAAAUGUCGAUUUCAGCGACAUAAAACUCGACACAGAGAUUACCGAAAACUACCAAAAAUACAGAUUACAUCAAAACCGUGCUGAAUUUGGAUAUUACCACCACAAAAACGAAAAGCAUCCAGCCAUUUCUACAACUGGACUGCCGGAUCACAGGAAUUUCUAAAUUUGAAAAUGAAAUCAUGUCUAUUGUUCUGGAACUAUAAGCGCUAACACGCCGAAGAAGAAUAUCUUCCUUUAAGAAGUUAAAUGAUCAUGAAACACCACAAGAAGCUUGCCGGACACUACUGCCAGACCAGACUUCCAUAAUAAACUGUUUCCCUGCGGCUAUGCGGAGAGUUCUGAAAAAUAAAAUGCCGACACCGCUUCCACAGCUCCUUGGACCUAGGAUGUGCUCCUGAUUGGCUUGACCAUCCUAAAUAAAUGUAUUUAUCAAUAAGCUGUGAAAUUAAGUGUUGCGUUUCAACUUUUAUUUACUAAAUAUGCUACUGCAUUGAAAUUUCUGGCGCUUCAUGUUUACAAAAACUGUGCUGUGUAUAGAAAAUAAAAUAAAAUAAUGUUAACAUAACUAUUGUUUUCCUUAACAAACUUGAAAUGUGGUGAAAUUAUUAUGCCUUCCGGCUUAACUGUUAAAACAUAAAAAAUUACAAAAUUCAUUAUAAAACAUUUAUGAAAGUGCAGUUCCAUCAAAUCUAUGAAAAUCACAAAACAACAUUCUACUAAAAUUCACAUAUUUUCCUCCUAAAUAUGAAAUUCUGGACUAAAUAUAGAUUACUACAAGUGAUCACAAGUGGCAAAAUUGUGUUCUCCUAUCUUAUGUUACAAAAUACAAAAUUCUUAUUUUUUCAUUGAAAUUUAAAUGUUAAAAGUGAAACCAAACGAAAUUCUAGUGUCAAAACUUCAAAAUAGUAUCCAAAUUUACUAAAAAUGCAACACGUGUUAUUGACAUCUGUCAAGUCAGCAAAAUUUUAUAACCUACAAAAUGUAUCAUACAAAAUUCUAUGAUUUUCAAAAAAAAAAUUCCAUGCAAAUGUGCAGAAAACAUCAUAAAUGUGAGCAAAUGCCCAAAGUAUGGUAUGCAAUACCCAAAAAAUCUUUGAAAUGUAACAAAAUACUCUACAAAAGGUGAGUUAAACAAAAUUAUUUUCUGGUGCAUAAAAAUAAGUCUAGACUUUUCCUGCAGCAAGUAAUUAUUUAGAAACCUGAAAAAUUCUUGGGCGCCAUUGUAACACGGGUGUUUUGAAAGGGGGUAAAAUAAAUGAAUGGAAAGCUCCGGCUUGUCAAAAAUAAAAACAGCCAUGUUAACAAAAUAAAAUUAAAUAAAAUAAACUAAAUGGAAACCUUGCUGUAGGAAAGCCAGGAGGAGAAACAAUUAAACAAAUUUAAAUCUAACAAACUUUAUUAACCUAAAGUUAUAGUGUAAAAGCUCAGUGGUAUAGCUGGGUCGCUUCACAGGUUCAUGUUAUAAGGUUUACACCAAUUAAUUAAUUACUAAAGACUAAAUUUCGAAAUACCUAAGUUUUAUGCACCGGAACUUUCAAAACUUUAAAUUAAAAUAACUAUUGCUCUAAAUCACAUUUUAAAUUUGUAGCCGAGCGCAGACGCAAUUUAAAAAUUAAAGAUGCAUCGGACCGACCUCAAAAACUGCUACCGGACCUGGAGCAGCGGGGAGUGACCUCGCCUAUCCCCGGGAAGCUGACUGCUAACCUGGUUGGAGCCGGCCAGUGCAGAUGACGUGGGUCAGAUCCCACAGCAUCAUUUUAAAACUUCAAAUUCGAAACAUCUUGAAACUUCUAGAAACAUCAAAAGCUUCUAGAAACAUCUAGAAACAUCCCGGCUCCUGCAAAGCGAGAAAAGGAAAUAUUAGCCGAUGCCCUUUAUGGCCGCUAGAGAAAAAAUGAAACAAUUCGAAAUUUAGCUCACCGCACUGGAAGCUGUUAGGACUUCUGGCGGAGCGCUCCCUUCCCUCGAGCAGGAGUCAACUCUGUAAAGAACCAAAACUUGGUUAAGAACAAACCCACAAUGUUUCGCGCCAUUGUGGAAUUGAUCACAACUAAAUUCCAUUUAUACUUACUCAGUGGAACACACCGAAGGACUCGAACUGCUUCCACCAUUUUGACCACCAUGUGGAAUGUGUGGUCUUAUCACAAAAUAGGGCUCAUGCGAGCGUGCGUCCCCGGAGGGGUCCACACAUCAAAAGUGCAUGUCACCUCAGAAUGACCUUCUCAUAUGUUGAGAACAAAAGGCAAAAAAACAAAAGUAGGGUGCCAAUCCCCUGAAGACACAAAUUCUUCGAAAAUUCUGAACUGAUUAUUUAGACAAAUUCACUCAUGAGCCUAAGAAAUAUAUUUUUAUCAUUAAA